UACGUAGGUCCCGAGCGUUGUCCGGAUUUAUUGGGCGUAAAGCGAGCGCAGGUGGUUUAUUAAGUCUGGUGUAAAAGGCAGUGGCUCAACCAUUGUAUGCAUUGGAAACUGGUAGACUUGAGUACAGGAGAGGAGAGUGGAAUUCCAUGUGUAGCGGUGAAAUGCGUAGAUAUAUGGAGGAACACCAGUGGCGAAAGCGGCUCUCUGGCCUGUAACUGACACUGAGGCUCGAAAGCGUGGGGAGCAAACAGG
rnacentral:rRNA from 1 species